CCUACGGGUGGCAGCAGUGGGGAAUAUUGCACAAUGGGCGCAAGCCUGAUCCAGCCACGCCGCGUGAAGGAAGACGGCCCUCCGGUUGUAAAGCUCUUUUUAUAGAGAAGAAUACUGAGGCACGCUUAACUUCUAGUAUCUACUUUAUGCGUAAGAGUAGCCUAACUCAUUGCCAGCAGCCGAGGUAAUACGGAGGAUCCGGGGGUUAUCCGGAUUUACGGGGUGUAAAGGGAGCGUAGAUGGUUUGUUAAGUCAGUUGUGAAAGCUUCGGGCUUAACCGGAAAAUUGCAGUUGAAACUGGUAGUCGUGAGUGCAGUAGAGGUAGGCGGAAUUCCUGGUGUAGCGGUGAAAUGCGUAGAGAUCAGGAGGAACACCGAUUGCGAAGGCAGCCUACUGGAC
rnacentral:rRNA from 1 species